rnacentral:rRNA from 1 species
UACGAAGGGGGCUAGCGUUGUUCGGAAUUACUGGGCGUAAAGCGCACGUAGGCGGAUAUUUAAGUUAGGGGUGAAAUCCCAGGGCUCAACCCUGGAACUGCCUUUAAUACUGGGUAUCUCGAGUCCGAGAGAGGUGAGUGGAAUUCCGAGUGUAGAGGUGAAAUUCGUAGAUAUUCGGAGGAACACCAGUGGCGAAGGCGGCUCGCUGGCUCGGUACUGACGCUGAGGUGCGAAAGCGUGGGGAGCAAACAGG